CCUACGGGUGUCAGCAGUGGGGAAUAUUGCACAAUGGGGGGAACCCUGAUGCAGCGACGCCGCGUGCGUGAAGAAGUAUUUCGGUACGUAAAGCUCUAUCAGCAGGGAAGAAAAAGGGACGGUCUCUGAGUAAGACGCCCCGGCUAACUACGUGCCAGCCGCCGGUGUCAUACGUCGGGGGCAAGCGUUCUCCGGAAUUACUGGGUGUAACGGGAGCGUAGACGGCAAUGCAAGUCCGGUGUGGAAUGCGACAGCUCAACUGCCGAACUGCUGUGGAAACUGUAUAGCUAGAGUGCAGGAGAGGUAAGCGGAAUUCCUGGUGGAGCGGUGAAAUGCGUAGAUAUCAGGAGGAACACCGGUGGCGAAGGCGGCUUACUGGACUGUAACUGACGUUGAGGCUCGAAAGCGUGGGGAGCAAACAGGAUUAGAUACCCUAGUAGUC
rnacentral:rRNA from 1 species